GGUUGUAGCUCAGCGGAAAUGCACUUGCCUAGCAUGUGUGAGGCACUGGGUUCGAUUCUCAGCACCA
rnacentral:tRNA from 1 species